GCAAGUCGAGCGGAAACGACACUAACAAUCCUUCGGGUGCGUUAUUGGCGUCGAGCGGCGGACGGGUGAGUAAUGCCCUGGAAAUUGCCUUGAUGUGGGGGAUAACCAUUGGAAACGAUGGCUAAUACCGCAUAAUGCCUACGGGCCAAAGAGGGGGAUCUUCGGACCUCUCGCGUCAAGAUAUGCCUAGGUGGGAUUAGCUAGUUGGUGAGGUAAUGGCUCACCAAGGCGACGAUCCCUAGCUGGUCUGAGAGGAUGAUC
rnacentral:rRNA from 1 species